rnacentral:rRNA from 1 species
AGCUAGUUGGUGAGGUAAUGGCUCACCAAGGCAAUGACACCUAACUGGUUUGAGAGGAUGAUCAGUCACACUGGAACUGAGACACGGUCCAGACUCCUACGGGAGGCAGCAGUGGGGAAUAUUGCACAAUGGACGAAAGUCUGAUGCAGCAACGCCGCGUGGAGGAUGACACAUUUCGGUGCGUAAACUCCUUUUAUAUAGGAAGAUAAUGACGGUACUAUAUGAAUAAGCACCGGCUAACUCCGUGCCAGCAGCCGCGGUAAUACGGAGGGUGCAAGCGUUACUCGGAAUUACUGGGCGUAAAGAGCGUGUAGGCGGGUAAAUAAGUUGGAAGUGAAAUCCUAUGGCUCAACCAUAGAACUGCUUCCAAAACUGUUAACCUAGAAUGUGGGAGAGGUAGAUGGAAUUUCUGGUGUAGGGGUAAAAUCCGUAGAUAUCAGAAGGAAUACCGAUUGCGAAGGCGAUCUACUGGAACACUAUUGACGCUGAGACGCGAAAGCGUGGGGAGCAAACAGGAUUAGAUACCCUGGUAGUCCACGCCCUAAACGAUGUACACUAGUUGUUGUGAGGCUAGACCUUGCAGUAAUGCAGUUAACACAUUAAGUGUACCGCCUGGGGAGUACGGUCGCAAGAUUAAAACUCAAAGGAAUAGACGGGGACCCGCACAAGCGGUGGAGCAUGUGGUUUAAUUCGACAUACGCGAAGAACCUUACCUGGUCUUGACAUAGAAAGAACUUUCCAGAGAUGGAUUGGUGCCUGCUUGCAGGAGCUUUCAUACAGGUGCUGCACGGCUGUCGUCAGCUCGUGUCGUGAGAUGUUGGGUUAAGUCCCGCAACGAGCGCAACCCUCGUCGUUAGUUGCUAACAGUUCGGCUGAGAACUCUAACGAGACUGCCUACGCAAGUAGGAGGAAGGUGAGGACGACGUCAAGUCAUCAUGGCCCUUACGACCAGGGCUACACACGUGCUACAAUGGGGUAUACAAAGAGCAGCGAUACGGUGACGUGGAGCGAAUCUCAAAAAUGCCUCCCAGUUCGGAUAGUAGUCUGCAACUCGACUACUUGAAGUUGGAAUCGCUAGUAAUCGUAGAUCAGCUAUGCUACGGUGAAUACGUUCCCGGGUCUUGUACUCACCGCCCGUCACACCAUGGGAGUUGAAUUCAUUCGAAGCGGGGAUGCUAAAAUAGCUACCUUCCACAGUGGAUUUAGCGACUGGGGUGAAGUCGUAACAAGGUAACCGUAGGAGAACCUGCGGUUG